rnacentral:tRNA from 1 species
GAGAGAGGCUCGAUAGCAACGAUGACUGCUAAUCAUCGCCCCCCUGGUUAAACUCCAAGGUUCACUCG